rnacentral:misc_RNA from 1 species
GCACAGCCUGAUACACCUGUUGAAAACAAUGUGAACAAUGGGAACAGCAAUGUGCCUCCUCUUUCUUCUGUAGCUGUGGGCAGAUCUAGCAAUAUUGAAAUGAGACCAGUAACAAGUGAUUCUCACUCACAGUCUGUUGAAAUGCAGCUUGAACAGAAUGAAGCUGCUGUCCGUGAUGUUGAAGCGGUUAGCCAAGAAAGUAGUGGGAGUGGGGCAACUUUAGGGGAAAGCCUUCGGAGCCUAGAUGUUGAAAUUGGAAGUGCUGA